CAAGCUUUUAGCUGUCUGGGCUAGUUUGUGGUUUUCGUUUCACCCAAUAGAGGGCCCCCUAGCCUGUAGUGGCAAGGAAACUAACUACACCCUGUGUAGCUUAGUAGGCACAAAAUAAACCUUAUGUCUCAGGCUGACAACACAUUAACCUGCGUGUUGGGUUCUUUCUUGUCAUUGUAGAGAGAGGGAGAGCGAGAGAGAAAAGAGAGAAGAAGAACACCAACGAACCAAUAACAGGCAUCAUACAGCUAUGUAAUUUUGUGCACGGCCCAGGUACCCCUAGGCCUUGAGGCCGGCAGAAUAAAACGCACAAGAACCGACAAGGGACACUGAAACAAUGGGACUAUAUAUAUACACACGAAGUAACAGAAGGCACCUGGGUGCAGGUAACGAGGGGUGGAGCUAAUAAAUGGACACAGGUGAGAGCAUUGAAGGCAGGGGCAGAGACAAGCAGAACACAGAAGGCCAUGUGCUAAGGAGAGCAUGGAGGAGAAAGGCACUUUGACGGACCAACGUCUAUCAACGCACUAUCAACAUUCCACCCUUACUGCAAAAUCUGCAGGAACUGCGUCAAAAUAUUUGAGCUACAUGGGAUGGAUUAUUACAGGACACCAUUAGGAACCUCUACAACUCCAUGCUGAGAUGUCUGGCAUGUUGUUUACACAUGUGUUAGACACUACGUCUGUAUGUGUAUAGAUUAUUAAACACUGCCUAUAUUUCUUAAGUUCACAUAAUUCUUUUAUGGCAAGCAAACAAGAGUUUUGAAUCAACAUGUUUUGUUCUUUUUUUUAAUUCAGGAAAAAAUAAUCUGUUUCAUUUUAAGGCGAAAACCGUGUAGAACUGCUUUGUCUCCCUGCACCUUAGUUCUGCACCUCUUUUGCAUCUCAAGUAUGUAACCCCCCACCACCAGCCAGAACAUCUAAUUCCAGGCAGCUGAAAGCAGAUCAAAUAUAAAUGAAGAUGGAGACGCAUAAAACAGGCGAAUAAAAUAUACGGCCCUGCCUCUUUACGCCCUGGC
rnacentral:lncRNA from 1 species